rnacentral:rRNA from 1 species
AUAUUUUUAUUCCCUCUCUCAGAUUGAACGCUGGCGGCAGGCUAACACAUGCAAGUCGAACGGUAACAGGAAGCAGCUUGCUUGCUUCGCUGACGAGUGGCGGACGGGUGAGUAAUGUCUGGGAAACUGCUGAUGGAGGGGGAUAACUACUGGAAACGGUAGCUAAUACCGCAUAACGUCGCAAGACCAAAGAGGGGGACCUUCGGGCCUCUUGCCAUCGGAUGUGCCCAGAUGGGAUUAGCUAGUAGGUGGGGUAACGGCUCACCUAGGCGACGAUCCCUAGCUGGUCUGAGAGGAUGACCAGCCACACUGGAACUGAGACACGGUCCAGACUCCUACGGGAGGCAGCAGUGGGGAAUAUUGCACAAUGGGCGCAAGCCUGAUGCAGCCAUGCCGCGUGUAUGAAGAAGGCCUUCGGGUUGUAAAGUACUUUCAGCGGGGAGGAAGGGAGUAAAGUUAAUACCUUUGCUCAUUGACGUUACCCGCAGAAGAAGCACCGGCUAACUCCGUGCCAGCAGCCGCGGUAAUACGGAGGGUGCAAGCGUUAAUCGGAAUUACUGGGCGUAAAGCGCACGCAGGCGGUUUGUUAAGUCAGAUGUGAAAUCCCCGGGCUCAACCUGGGAACUGCAUCUGAUACUGGCAAGCUUGAGUCUCGUAGAGGGGGGUAGAAUUCCAGGUGUAGCGGUGAAAUGCGUAGAGAUCUGGAGGAAUACCGGUGGCGAAGGCGGCCCCCGGACGAAGACUACGCCUCAUGUGCGGAAAUGCGUUCUU